rnacentral:rRNA from 1 species
UACGUAGGUGGCAAGCGCUGUCCGGAAUUAUUGGGCGUAAAGCGCGCGCAGGUGGUUUCUUAAGUCUGAUGUGAAAGCCCACGGCUCAACCGUGGAGGGUCAUUGGAAACUGGGGAACUUGAGUGCAGAAGAGGAAAGUGGAAUUCCAAGUGUAGCGGUGAAAUGCGUAGAGAUUUGGAGGAACACCAGUGGCGAAGGCGACUUUCUGGUCUGUAACUGACACUGAGGCGCGAAAGCGUGGGGAGCGAACAGG